UACGAAGGGGGCUAGCGUUGUUCGGAUUUACUGGGCGUAAAGCGCACGUAGGCGGGUCGUUAAGUCAGGGGUGAAAUCCCGGAGCUCAACUCCGGAACUGCCUUUGAUACUGGCGACCUUGAGGCUGGAAGAGGUUAGUGGAAUUCCCAGUGUAGAGGUGAAAUUCGUAGAUAUUGGGAAGAACACCAGUGGCGAAGGCGGCUCACUGGCCCGAUACUGACGCUGAGGCACGAAAGCGUGGGGAGCAAACAGG
rnacentral:rRNA from 1 species